AACAAACCUAGAGAUUUUUUAAACAUCAUAUUUAUCACUUUUGAUAAAAACCUAUUAUCUUGUCAGCCACUCGAUUAAAUGUUAUCCUUUAAUUCCUAACACUUUCGGCACAAUAGCUUGCAAAGUUCAUUCAUGUCAGAUUGUCCAUAUGAAAACUACAAUUAUAGAGCUUGAUAAAGACCUAUAUAAUAUUGUUCACCUUUUUCCAUCAUAAAUUGUUCCUUAACUUCAACUUAAUUCCAUUGUCAUGUUUUUCCUAUGUUUUUGCGGGGUAUAGAAUUUUUGGUGGUGGUAGAUGAAUGUUCGAUAAAGUUUUGAGAAAUUUUUGUAUAAAGACAUGAGGCAAAGUUCAUUGAGAAUAUUGUUGAAGUGGUUGAAAACAAGCUACACCCCACAGGCUUUUCAUCGCUCAGGGCUAGAAACUUCUUCAUCAAGUUAUUUUAGGUUGGUAAGCAUUUGUCUAAAGAUGUUGAAGCUCAGAUAUUAGCUUCUCAACACUGGAUUGAGGCUAGCCUACAAACUAAUUAUCGAAGAUGACAAGACAGAAGUACUCAAGACUUUACAAACUAGGCUAAAGAUAACACUAUUAUGGGUUUAAUCUAAGUAGUAGAUUAUACUUUAAGAAGGGAUAUAUAAAAUCUAUUGUUUGUUGAUAUCUUCUCAUUUUUUAUUGAUUUGUUUGGAAUUUGAAAUCUGCUACUAUUAGAUUAUUAGGUUUUUCUUCAUUUAAUGUAUUUAAUUAUUAUUUUUAUCUUCAUUUAAAGUAUGUAGGGUAACCAACAAAUCAUCUGGCAAAAAAUCAAGCGGCAUACAAUAAAUAAUAAUAUAUUUGAGAUACAAUUUUUAUUAAUAUCAUUUAAAUAGAUAUAAUGUGGGCUAUCUCAAUGAAAAAAGAUACAUUAUGGAUUAGAUGGGUACACUACUACUAUAUGAAGAACAUCAAACUCGAGAACCUGACAAAUCCUAAGAAUGCAACUUGGGUGAUGCAAAAGAUCAUAGACAGUGGUAAAUAGAUCAUGUUACAGAAAUGCUACCAGGGGAGUGUAACUCAAACCUUGAGAAGCCUGAUUCAAGGUAACAAAUUCAAGAUCAAGAAAGCUUAUCUAGCACUCCAGCCUCAAUUCCCAAGGGUGGUAUGGAAGAACAUCACACUCCAUAAGAGAGUGCAUCCUCGAUACAAAUUCCAUCUGUGGCUUGCAAUACAAGAGAGAUUAUGUACAGUUGAUAGACUUCAAAAGAUGGAGGUGCAAGUUCCUAGGAACUGUGUUUUUUGUGAUCAAGAGGUAGAAACAUUACACCUAUUUUUUAGAUGCCCUUACAGUAAGCAAAUCUAGACCGGAAUACUCAUAUGAAUGAGAGCACACAGAGUAAUAGGUACAUGGCAUCAAGAGGUAAAAUGGAUAUGCAAGAUAGCAAAGAAGAAAGUUGCGAUGCUAUGCAGUGCGUUUGCAAUGGCAAUAUACAACAUUUGGAAAGACAGAAACAAGACGAGGUUCUAGAAUGGCAGAAGUGAUGCAACUAAAACAUGCCAUGAAAUAGCGAUGCACCUGCACAUUCAGGGGAACAAAGCUUCUUGGAAGGAAAAGCUGCAACUGCUGAACUAUUUUCCUUAGGAGAAGUAGAAUUGAUACUUAUUGUAAAAGGAUUAUGGCUCCGUUAGUUGUAUAGAUAACUUGAAUAGGCCCUAGAAAAACAAAUGAGGUGGUCGAUGGUCAGCUUCUACCUGGAUAUGUAACGAUUCACUUUGACUAA